CAAAAAUCAACACCAGAAAAGAAAAUGCUAAAAACAGUGUAUCAGCAAAUAUACAACAAACAAACAAGCACCGGCAAGGAAGAAGGCAUAUGAAAACCUGCUUGGGUGGCCAUGGAUACGAAGGAUCGCCAGGCCGUGAAGUAACAUUUUCCUAUGGGAUGCCUGAACUGGAAGAAGUGCAGAUGGAAGAGGAGGAAGAUGCUGAAGAAGAGGGAAUUAAAGGAUCCUGAUGAUCCAACAUGGGACUAAAACAUGUGUUUAGAACCUUUAAGAUUAUGAGCAACUGCCAGUAUGAUGUCUUGAAGAAGAGAUUUUUUUUUUACUUGGAAGAGGAACUCCAUGACUCUCCACCAAAAGACGAGGAACUUUUCUUGAGGGUCCAAAGCCGGGAUGAGUUGGAUAGUGAGAGACUUUUCCUGACUUUUGAGUGCUCCUUACAGGAUAUAUUCAGUGAACCCAUCUUGCCACUGUGACAAAGCAUAAUCUGUUGACUUCAAGCCAUGUAGUACUGGCAUGUAUGCUAUAAUGCAGACAGAUUGGAAGUCAAAGUGGUCUUUCCUCCCAAACCAAAGUUAUAUGCCUGAUAUUGAGAAGAAACCAUUUUGGUCCAGCAUUUACUUCUUAAAUCUAAAUUUAAUGGCAUCAAAUGUAUUAUGGAAUAUGGUACUGGUGGCAUAUUGUGACUUCAACUUGAUUUUAAACUACUGUGUUGUCAUAUUUUGUAAGAUCACCAGUUGCAGAGUUUUGUGACUUUGUUACAGCAUAAAAUUCUGUAUUUGGCAAAUGACUGUAUGUCUUUUCUUUUAUAAAAGACCUUUCUUCUUUUUUAAAAGACCUUUCUUAAAAGACCUACAAAAUGGUUUGAGUGAACACUUGUGCCUGUAUUCAAUUCUCCACUCAGCCAUAAUUUAGAAUUCAUGUAGGGAAGCCAUACCUGUAUUUUUUAAAGAAAUAUUUAUACCUUUCUAUUUAUUCCCUGCACAUCUUGGAAAAGUAUGUGUGAAUAUCUUACCUAUGAAACAAUUUAUGUUUGUGUAAGUUGGGUAAGGCCCUUCUUAUGACACAUUCCUUUGCAUGGAGACUUUUGUGUCUGCUUACAUGAGUCAAUACACUGACAGAGAGGGGGAUAAUUUGUUGAUCUGCAAUGCCCAUGGGUCUGCAUGUACAUCAGAUUCUUAACAUGAUAGCCCGGCUGUUAAUAAGUCUCUCUCAAAAAUGUUACCAUACUAUAAUGUGUACUGCACAAUGUGAAAGUUUGUGAAUGCUUGAAUGGAAGGCUUAUUUAUGAAGAGGACAUUAAUAAGUAUGAAAAUAAUUAUGCAUUUUAGCUUGCAAUAUCUGUGUAUGUCUUAUUCAUUACGUGUGACAGGUAAUAAUAAAGAUGAUUUGGCCAAAUUCUAAACUUAUGUAGCAAACUUUGUUUAUUCUUGUAUUUUUGCCAAAUAUAAAUAAAAGAUGUUUCAAUA